rnacentral:rRNA from 2 species
UGCGGAAGAGAUAAGUGCUGAAAGCAUCUAAGCACGAAACUUGCCCCGAGAUGAGUUCUCCCUGAGACUUAGAGUCUCCUGAAGGAACGUUGAAGACGACGACGUUGAUAGGCCGGGUGUGUAAGCGCAGCGAUGCGUUGAGCUAACCGGUACUAAUGAACCGUGAGGCUUAACCUUAC